rnacentral:tRNA from 1 species
GCUCAGUCAGUAGAACGUGAGACUCUUAAUCACAGAGUUGUGGGUUCAAUCCCCACACUGGGCA